GGGGCACCUGCGUGGCUCGGUCAACAGAUAACACAAGGGUUCAUGAGUUGAUAGUUGCGGAAACUGUAGAAUGGGUAGAUGGAAAGUCACUACUCCCUCCUCUCUCUUUUGCUUGAAAUUGUACAUAUAUAAGAAAACCUUUGUAAAAAUUAUGCAAUCAUCUGGCUUUAUGCAUUUGUCUUUCUUCCUCAGGGAGUUGCAUCAUUAGCGAACGCGGACAUUUAUAAAUGGAGAGCCGUCAAUUCUAAAGGACCUUUUUGCGCGUGCAAGUUUGCAUUUCUGCACCAACCCGGAUUCUGGCACACCGUAGGCACGCGAUACAUUUCAGUGAAGAAGAAAAACAAAAACAAAGGGAAGGUGCCGGGCCACAGUUUGCAAGACUUCCAUUUUGUCAUGGCUGUAAGAAAAAGACAUCCAUUCUUCUGGUAUUAAUGCUCCUGAAUCCAGCUUCCGAGCUGUAAACCCAGAAGAUGCCUCCAAUGACUCAUUCCGGGAAUAAAUGUUUCUAAUGUUAAAGGUAUGCA
rnacentral:lncRNA from 1 species